rnacentral:rRNA from 1 species
GACGAACGCUGGCGGCGUGCUUAACACAUGCAAGUCGAACGGAAAGGCCCUGCUUUUGUGGGGUUCUCGAGUGGCGAACGGGUGAGUAACACGUGAGUAACCUGCCCUUGACUUUGGGAUAACUUCAGGAAACUGGGGCUAAUACCGGAUAGGAGCUCCUGCUGCAUGGUGGGGGUUGGAAAGUUUCGGCUGUUGGGGAUGGACUCGCGGCUUAUCAGCUUGUUGGUGGGGGAGUGGCUUACCAAGGCUUUGACGGGUAGCCGGCCUGAGAGGGUGACCGGCCACAUUGGGACUGAGGUACGGAGCAGACUGCUACGGGAGGCAACAGUGGGGAAUAUUGCACAAUGGGCGGAAGUGUGAUGCAGAAACGCCGCGUGCGGGAUGACGGCCUUCGGGUUGUAAACCGCUGUCGCCUGUGACGAAGCGUGAGUGACGGUAAUGGGUAAAGAAGCACCGGCUAACUACGUG